GAAGAAGUUUUUCAAGUGUCUCAUGAUGAAUUUCAUAGGGCAGAUUCUGAGGUGAAAAUUUGAUUCAUCACUGAUACCCUAACUGUGAAUUCUGAAGACACUUGAAAACAU
ensembl:snoRNA SNORD90 small nucleolar RNA, C/D box 90